CCGGCUCCCGGCGCGGCCAGCUCUGCGGCCGCGGUCAGCAGAUCCUCUUUAACCUGGGAGAGAACUUUCACUUUGCUCGAGUGAACCUGUGUCUGGGUCAGUCCCGACAAGCUCCUUCCUCUAUUUCAAAUAUGCGUUGGCUUAACCCAGCUGGGACAAAGCCUGGGACACAGAAUGGGGUCUGUGGGGGCCUUCCAGACUAGGUAAAUAUAGUAGCUAACAGACAGCCCCGUACAUCCCAGUGUCUCCAGACCCCUCCAGGAACUCCGUAAACCAUCCUGCACAAACGGCCCGACUUCCCGGUCACUCAGCUCUAGAUAUGGGGGAAGAAUGAGUGAACGUACAGCACCUGUUGCCUGUAUCACAGCCAGAAGAGACCAUCUUCUCCACCCUUGACACUCCGUGGACUGGCAUAUAGGGAAGGGUCACCUCUCUCUCCUACCCAUGACUCUACUCCCUCCUCACCUGGCCAUGCAGCUUGUCUUCGGGGCCUGGCUUCGUCUUAUGGUGCUUGGCGUCCAUGCAGAUGUUGAACAGGUUCGUCCCAGCCCGUGGAGUCCUAGGCUGGGCACCCCACGCAGCAGCCACCAAAGCCAGAAGCAGCAGCUGUAUCAUGG